CUUUCAAUGAUGAUGUUUUUCUUUUUUUUUUUUUGCUUACUUGGCAAAAGAAAUCAUCAUCAUACACGUCGAUCAUUCAUCGAGUUCUUCAUUCGUUCGAUCGAUCGAUCGAUUGAUGGUAAAAGUCGGUGCUAAGAGGUUUCAAUUUGAGCCAUUUAGCAAGACAAACAAACACUAUGUGUGUGUGUGUGUGUAUGUGUGGAUGUGAAUCAUCGUGAAAUUCUGUCGAAUAUAUAUUGAAUGAAUGGACAGCACGAUGAUGGCUUAAAUUGGUACUGUUUUUUUUUUUUUUUUUGGUUCAUCAAUGCUGAUGACGAUGACGGCGGUCAAAUACAAACAACAACAACAACAACAACAACAAGAACUAAAAAUUGACUUUUGACUUUUUUUUCGUUCAUUGAAUUUGGUUAGUAUAUUUGAUAGUAGGUUUUUUUCUUACUUUACUAAAUUCGUGAUCGAUUUGAACGUUAAUUUUUUUCUGUACUUUUUUUUGGUUAUCAUUGCCGCCGACGACGACGACGACGAAGACGAAGACGAAGACGUUAGUGAAAUUUACUAUUCCCCUUUAUUUUAGGUGUUACGAUCAUCAUGAUGAUGAUACUGAUGAUGUCCUAGGAUUCGUGUUCUGCCUGAAUUCGGUUUUAAACACACUGAUCAAUACAAACAUAAACGAUGGUCAUCAAUUAAAAAAAAAAUAAAAUACAGAGAAUCAUGUAUACAUUCGCAAAAUCGUGCACCAGAAAGCCAAGGAUUGAAGGGUCCUAGACGGUUUUCAUUUUCAUUGAAAACUUUUUUGCACCAAUCUUUUUGCUUGCUUUGUCACGAAUUGUUACACACACACACAUUUGUUCAAUCAUAAAUUCAAUUAUUAUUAUUAUAGUA